GUUUUUGGGUAAUCGCGGUCUGACAUGAUCAGGCUGAGGAAAGUCCAUGCUCGCACAGGCUGUGAUGCCUGUAGUGUUCGUGCUUAGCGAAACAAUAAGCUAAGGUACUCUAUUAGAGUAACGGCAGGAAAACAAGCUAAGG
rnacentral:RNase_P_RNA from 1 species